rnacentral:tRNA from 1 species
CAAAUUUAAGCUUAAAAGUAUUUCAGUUACAUUGAAAAGUAAGAAAAUUUAAAUUUUCAAAUUUGA